UUAUGCUGUACAAAACAUAUACUUAUAAUAUAUACAUUUAGAAACGUAACACUCUGAUUCAAAAGUAUAAAACUUCUGUGCUAAGAUCCUGUCAUCAUUUCACUUGGCAUAGUUAUCAAAACUUUUAGUUUUUACCUUUUAUAGACAUUUUGACAUACAGUAAAAUUAAUAGCCAUAUAAGGCAAACCCCACUGUAGCUCAUCACAAGUGAACACAUGAUGCUAUCCUAUGUCACACUCAGCAGUCUCUUUAUUUGCAGCCAGGGCUGCCAGUUCAACUCACAAGCUCAGAAACAUACCACCAAAGACAGGUUGAUUGCCUCAAAUCAGAGGUGCUGCUCCAGUUGCCAAGAGCUUACAAGCCAAAACCUUAACAAGCAAUGGCAAGAUACAAACGCAGUAGGAGCAAAAGCAGGAAUUGUCGCUGGAGGCGACCCAGAGGAGGUCGCGGAGGGGGAUAUAGAAGGAGUAGAAGGAAGAGAUAUGGUAGAAGGAGGAGAGGUCGCAGAGGUCGAUCGAGGAGGAGAAGCAGUAGGAGGAGCAGUCGGAGCGAGAGGAGGAGGAGAAGGAGAAGGAGAAGGAGGAGGAUGAGCUAUUAAACUCCAGAUGGCUUCCUGUUCUCCUGUACUCAUAAACUUGAAAGUCAUCAACCAUUAUCUUCAACUUCUGCUCAUCAAAAUGGCAUAAAAAAUAAAAAAAAAAUCCUUCCAUCAAAACCCUAGCAAUGACCUCCCAAGAUGCAAGCAGUUUGAACAGUGCCACCUCUCAAUAAACUUGUGAAACUUCA